GCCCUGGUGGCAUAAUGGUUAAGUGUUCUUGGCUGCUAACCAAAAGGUUGGGAGUUAGAACUCCUGCGGCA
rnacentral:tRNA from 1 species